GAUGAACGCUAGCGGCAGGCCUAAUACAUGCAAGUCGAACGGUAGCAUGAGAGCUUGCUCUUGAUGACGAGUGGCGCACGGGUGCGUAACGCGUAUGCAACCUACCCUUUACUGGAGGAUAGCCCGAAGAAAUUCGGAUUAAUACUCCAUGGUACUAUAAAGCAGCAUUACUUAAUAGUUAAAGAUUUAUUGGUAAAGGAUGGGCAUGCGUGACAUUAGUUAGUUGGUAAGGUAACGGCUUACCAAGACGAUGAUGUCUAGGGGUUCUGAGAGGAAGGUCCCCCACACUGGUACUGAGACACGGACCAG
rnacentral:rRNA from 1 species